rnacentral:rRNA from 1 species
AACGAACGUUGGCGGCGUGGAUUAGGCAUGCAAGUCGAACGCGAAUCCCUGGGCAACUGGGGAGGAGAGUGGCGAAAGGGGCAGUAAGGCGUGGGUAACCUACCCUCCGGGCCGGGAUAGCUUCGGGAAACUGAAGGUAAUACCGGGCGACGCAGCGAGAUCGCAUGGUCUUGCUGCCAAAGGUCCGCCGCCGGGGGAGGGGCUCACGUGGUAUUAGCUAGACGGCGGGGUAACGGCCCACCGUGGCAAAGAUGCCUAGCAGGUGUGAGAGCACGACCUGCGCCACUGGCACGGAGACACUGGCCAGACACCUACGGGUGGCUGCAGUCGAGGAUCUUCGGCAAUGGGCGCAAGCCUGACCGAGCGACGCCGCGUGUGCGAUGAAGGCCUUCGGGUUGUAAAGCACUGUCGAGGGGGAGGAAGCCGCAAGGUUGACCUAUCCCUGGAGGAAGCACGGGCUAAGUUCGUG